rnacentral:rRNA from 1 species
AGAGUUUGAUCCUGGCUCAGAACGAACGCUGGCGGCGUGCCUAACACAUGCAAGUCGAACGUGAUCCAGAGCUUGCUCUGGUGAAAGUGGCGCACGGGUGAGUAACGCGUGGAUAACCUACCCUGGUAUCCGGGAUAACAUUCCGAAAGGGGUGCUAAUACCGGAUAAGCCCACGGGCUCUUUGGAGCUUGCGGGAAAAGGUGGCCUCUAUUUAUAAGCUACUGUAUCAGGAUGGGUCCGCGUACCAUUAGCUAGUUGGCGGUGUAACGGACCACCAAGGCGACGAUGGUUAGCUGGUCUGAGAGGAUGAUCAGCCACACUGGAACUGAGACACGGUCCAGACUCCUACGGGAGGCAGCAGUGGGGAAUUUUGCGCAGUGGGGGAAACCCUGACGCAGCAACGCCGCGUGAGUGAUGAAGGCCUUUGGGUCGUAAAGCUCUGUCAGAGGGGAAGAAAUGAUAUAGUGCUAAUACCACUUUAUCUUGACGGUACCCUCAAAGGAAGCACCGGCUAACUCCGUGCCAGCAGCCGCGGUAAUAC